AUGACAUAUUGGUUUUCAGUCUCGACCUACAGGAACAUGAAUAGCACUUGCGCCUCAAGCUCGAGUUACUCCACGAGCAUCAACUGUUCGCCAAGGCGUCGAAGUGUUUGUUCACCCAGCAGAGCAUCGAGUACCUGGGACACGUCAUCUCCAAGGACGGAGUCGCCACCGACACAAGCAAGACGAGCGCCAUGUAAGCUUGACAGGUGCCCUCCACACCAACUGAACUGA
rnacentral:rRNA from 1 species